GGGGCCGACCGGAUUUGACAGCAAGGUAAAUGGAUGAGUAAGCAUGCCGAGCUUUGCAACAACGCUCGUUAAUCCCUGUUGCGAACAAUAACUGGCGAAAAUUCUUUCGCUCUCGCUGCUUAAUCGAAGUACAGUAGAUUAAGCUCUCCUGGCACAAGGUGCCGGGACGGGACACCUCUCGGGAACCUUGCCUUUCGGUUGCCGGUUCAGAGGUGCUGGAAAGAAAGGCUAGUUGUGCCACGCCUCGCUGACA
rnacentral:tmRNA from 1 species